rnacentral:tRNA from 1 species
GCCCCCAUGGUCUAGCGGCCGAGGACGCCACCCUUUCAAGGUGGAGAUCGCGGGUUCGAAUCCCGCUGGGGGCACCA